UACGUAGGGUGCAAGCGUUGUCCGGAAUUAUUGGGCGUAAAGAGCUCGUAGGCGGUUUGUCGCGUCGGCUGUGAAAACCUGGGGCUCAACCCCGGGCCUGCAGCCGAUACGGGCAAACUAGAGUUCGGCAGGGGAGACUGGAAUUCCUGGUGUAGCGGUGAAAUGCGCAGAUAUCAGGAGGAACACCGGUGGCGAAGGCGGGUCUCUGGGCCGAUACUGACGCUGAGACGCGAAAGCGUGGGGAGCAAACAGG
rnacentral:rRNA from 1 species